rnacentral:lncRNA from 1 species
AUGAAAGCGGGAAGUCGUAGGUGGCAAGACAGACUUAAUGACAAAAACAAACCAGAUAAGGUGCUGGGAAACCACCGCGCUGGCUUUGGUGGUGGCAGCAAACGGGAUUGCUGCAGACAGCGGGUAGCUCAGGGCUGCGACCUGGGGACACGUGCAGGUUGCGCCGUCCUGUCCUUCAGCGCGACCUCCGAGCGAGUCCUGCAGGAUUUCCUCUCCGAGGGGACAGCGCUGGAGCUGGCCUGCACGUGGGAGCUGCGCUGGAGCAUCCCCACCACCGAGCAGGGCCAUGCGGCGCUUGGGGCGGCUCACGAGCUCCUGCCUGGUCCCCGAUCCCCGAUCCCAAAACCACAAAUCUCAGGUGAGCGAUGCGCACAGGCGAGGGGGCAGAGCAGUGAGUGCCCCCUGCACCGCAGCCCACCUUGUCACACUAGGGCAGGAAAUGGCCCUGCAAGCGCUGCAGGCAAGUGGGCUGUGCCGUGCGGCGCUGCGCAAUGCACUGCAGUGCUGUGCUGUCCAGUGCCAUGCAGUGCGGUACUGUGCUGUACCGUGCCGUGCCAUGCCGGGCUGUGCUGUGCAAUGCAGUGCAGUGCCGUGCUGUGCAGUCCUGUGCAGUGCCGUGCCAUGCCAAGCUGUGCAGUGCCGUGCUGUGCCGUGCAAUGCUGUGCCGUGCAAUGCUGUGCUGUGCAAUGCAGGGCAGUGCAGUGCUGUGCAAUGCAGUGCUGUGCUGUGCUGUGCAAUGCAGUGCUGUGCCAUGCCAUGCUGUGCAGUGGCGUGCUGUGCCGUGCAGUGCCGUGCCGUGCAAUGCAGGGCAGUGCAGUGCCGUGCUGUGCCAUGCCAUGCUGUGCUGUGCUGUGCUGUGCUGUGCCGUGCCGUGCCGUGCAGUGCUGUGCUGUGCUGUGCUGUGCUGUGCUGUGCUGUGCCGUGCAGCACCUUUUCCAGUUUUUAAUCCCGGUCCUCACACAACAGCGGGAUCCCGCACAGCACCUCCACUCCGCCACACCAGCUCUGUGGGGGGGGUCCCAGAACCACCCCCCCCACCCCCCCCCUCCCCACUCCCUUCACACUUUCCCCUUUUCCUUCCCCAAAACCACCUCCGGACGGGGCCUUCCC